rnacentral:rRNA from 1 species
CAGUCGCCGCGGUAAAACGAAGGGGGCUAGCGUUGCUCGGAAUUACUGGGCGUAAAGGGAGCGUAGGCGGAUCGUUAAGUUGGGGGGUGAAAGCCCGGGGCUCAACCUCGGAACUGCCUUCAAUACUGGCGAUCUUGAGUAUGAGAGAGGUGUGUGGAACUCCGAGUGUAGAGGUGAAAUUCGUAGAUAUUCGGAAGAACACCAGUGGCGAAGGCGACACACUGGCUCAUUACUGACGCUGAGGCUCGAAAGCGUGGGGAGCAAACAGGAUUAGAUACCCCAGUAGUCCCUGUCUCUUAUA